rnacentral:rRNA from 1 species
UGCGUAGGUGGUUGUUUAAGUCUGUUGUGAAAGCCCUGGGCUCAACCUGGGAAUUGCAGUGGAUACUGGGCGACUAGAGUGUGGUAGAGGGUAGUGGAAUUCCCGGUGUAGCAGUGAAAUGCGUAGAGAUCGGGAGGAACAUCCAUGGCGAAGGCAGCUACCUGGACCAGCACUGACACUGAGGCACGAAAGCGUGGGGAGCAAACA